GAGACUUUGAUCAACACUCAAGUGGCAGCGGUUAGAUACACAGCUGAAGCUCUGCAAGGAAUCGUCAUCACUGCUGAAGUGAUCUACAUCUACAAUAAGGAUAACCCGAACUACUCUUACGGUUCAAAGAAAAGUUGGCAUGUCACAGGAACCGUUGGAGAAACAAUAUUGCCAGUAUUUGGUCGUGAAAUGGAGUAUAAGCGACGUGAGUUAUUC
rnacentral:sRNA from 1 species